rnacentral:rRNA from 1 species
UCGCAUCUACCGAUUGGAUGGUCCGGUGAAGCCUUGGGAUUGUAGUUUGGUUCCUUUAUUGGGACCUUACCGCGAGAACAUGUCUAAACCUUAUCAUUUAGAGGAAGGUG